rnacentral:rRNA from 1 species
AGAGUUUGAUCAUGGCUCAGAACGUACGCUGGCGGCACGCCUAACACAUGCAAGUCGAGCGAGGUAGCAAUACCUAGCGGCAGACGGGUGCGUAACAUGUGGGAAUCUGCCUUUUGGUUCGGAAUAACACGGGGAAACCUGUGCUAAUACCGGAUAAGUCCUUACGGAGAAAGUUUUAAUGCCAAAAGAUGAGCCCGCAUUUGAUUAGUUUGUUGGUGAGGUAAUGGCUCACCAAGACUACAAUCAAUAGCUGAUUUGAGAGGAUGAUCAGCCACACUGGGACUGAGAUACGGCCCAGACUCCUACGGGAGGCAGCAGUGGGGAAUCUUGCACAAUGGGCGAAAGCCUGAUGCAGCGAUGCCGCGUGAGUGAAGAAGGCCUUUGGGUUGUAAAGCUCUUUUGUCGGGAAAGAUAAUGACUGUACCCGAAGAAUAAGGUCCGGCUAACUUCGUGCCAGCAGCCGCGGUAAUACGAAGGGACCUAGCGUAGUUCGGAAUUACUGGGCGUAAAGAGUAUGUAGGCGGCUAGAUAAGUUAAUUGUGAAAGCCCAAAGCUUAACUUUGGAAUUGCAAUUAAAACUAUUUAGCUAGAGUAUGAUAGAGGAAAGCGGAAUACAUAGUGUAGAGGUGAAAUUCGUAGAUAUUAUGUAGAACACCAGUUGCGAAGGCGGCUUUCUGGAUCAUUACUGACGCUGAGAUACGAAAGUAUGGGUAGCGAAGAGGAUUAGAUACCCUCGUAGUCCAUACUGUAAACGAUGAUUAUUAGAUGUGGGGAAUUAUUUCUCUGUAUCACAGCUAACGCGUUAAAUAAUCCGCCUGGGGAGUACGACCGCAAGGUUAAAACUCAAAUGAAUUGACGGGGACCCGCACAAGCGGUGGAGCAUGUGGUUUAAUUCGAAGCAACGCGCAGAACCUUACCAACCCUUGACAUGUUCGUCGCGAGACUAAGAAAUUAGUCUCUUCGGUUCGGCCGGACGAAACACAGGUGCUGCAUGGCUGUCGUCAGCUCGUGUCGUGAGAUGUUGGGUUAAGUCCCGCAACGAGCGCAACCCUUGUCAUUAGUUGCUACAUUUAGUUGGGCACUCUAAUGAGACUGCCGGUGACAAACCGGAGGAAGGUGGGGAUGACGUCAAGUCCUCAUGGCCCUUAUAGGUGGGGCUACACACGUCAUACAAUGGCUGGUACAAAGGGUUGCCAACCCGCGAGGGGGAGCUAAUCCCAUAAAACCAGUCGUAGUCCGGAUCGCAGUCUGCAACUCGACUGCGUGAAGUCGGAAUCGCUAGUAAUCGUGGAUCAGAAUGUCACGGUGAAUACGUUCCCGGGUCUUGUACACACCGCCCGUCACACCAUGGGAGCGGGUUCUGCCAGAAGUAGUUAGCCUAACCGUAAGGAGGGCGAUUACCACGGCAGGGUUCGUGACUGGGGUGAAGUCGUAACAAGGUAACCGUA